UGUGGCUCAAUGCUAUUUCUCUCAUAAGUGUUUAAAGGCCCUCAAAAAUUUCUCUACUGCUGGUCUGAUUUGAUCUCUAGUUAGAUAAAAACACAUAGUUUCCAUGCUGUCAUACUCAGGUUCACAUUUGCAACAACUGGCAGAUGAGUUUCCAUACUUAGAGGACACUUUGCAUUGGCAGCACAUGCUUCAGUGCUCUGAGAGUGUUUAUAGCGCUGUGACUUUAACACUUCAUGACUGAGAGCUGCUGCUACAGCAACUUCACCCACAGCUACCAUGACUUUGAUCCCCGUCUUCAUCUGGACACUGAUCCUCUGGACUCAAGAAUGCAGAGGUCAAGCCACAGUAACUCAGACUCCUGCAGUGAAAUCUGCUCUUCCAGGAGAAACAGUCACCAUCAACUGUAGAACCAGUCAGGCAGUGUACAAGGACUCACAUGGUGACCGCUUACACUGGUAUCAACAGAAACCCGGAGAAGCUCCUAAACUCCUGAUUAAACUUGUAAAUCAGUUACAGUCAGGUUUUCCAGCUCGUUUCAGUGGCAGUGGAUCUGGAUCUGAUUUCACUCUGACCAUCAGUGGAGUCCAGACUGAAGAUGCAGGAGAUUACUACUGUCAGAGUGAACAUUCCAUCACUGGCUACUGGUUCACACAGUGUUAUAGAGUCGUACAAAAACCUCCCUCAGUCAGAUUGUAGAGAGACUGCACUGCUGCAGCUGGGAGCGACUGCAGGUGCUGAGUUGUAGGAUGUGAUACGAUACAAUGACACUCUGUGGAGGAGAGGAACCACACCAUACUAACUCACAACUCACAUUACGAAUCUCUCAAUAAUAAUCACACCACACUGCACACAGUCCAUCAUGUCCACAACUUAUGUAGUUUUCUACAAAGUCAUGGUGCUAACUGUAACAGCAGAACACAUCACAGCUUUACAAAAACAAAUCAGUAUCUGAUCAUCAAACUCAUUCCUGUUCUAUCUGUUAUCACUCCACUCAUUUUUACUCAAUCCAUCCGAGUUUAUCUGUUCUCCCCCCCCUGUGUUUGACAUUAACUCCAGCAUAUCAGAAAAUGUGAAUGAUAAUUCUGUUCAAUACAUCUACUGACCCUAGAUAGGUUUGAUUUAUGAACAAAGACUACAUAAAUGAAAUUAAUUCGUGGAAAACAUUCUCAGCUUUUGGGCUAGAAAGAAAUCUGCCUCACUUCUUCAUAAAAUUCUUUUUCUUACAACUUAAAAGUCAUUUUUCUUACAAAUGUUGGUGGUGCUGUUUUUCAUGGGUCCUCAAAAGUACAAACUGAUCCACUUUAAGAAGCAAAUUUACUAGAAGCAAAUAAGCCAAGAUGGAGGCCA